AGGGAAAUAGCUCAGUGGUAGAGCACAUACUUAGCAUGCACAAGGUUCUGGGUUCAAUCCUCUGUACCUCUA
rnacentral:tRNA from 1 species